rnacentral:rRNA from 1 species
GCUAACUACGUGCCAGCAGCCGCGGUAAUACGUAGGGGCCGAGCGUUGUCCGGAGUUACUGGGCGUAAAGCGCGCGCAGGCGGCCCGGCGCGCCCGACGUGAAAGCCCCCGGCCCAACCGGGGAGGGUCGUCGGGGACGGUCGGGCUUGAGGGCAGCAGGGGCUGGUGGAAUUCCCGGUGUAGUGGUGAAAUGCGUAGAGAUCGGGAGGAACACCCGUGGCGAAGGCGGCCAGCUGGGCUGCACCUGACGCUGAGGCGCGAAGGCGUGGGGAGCGAACGGGAUUAGAUACCCUUGUAGUC